UUGUCAUGCAUCUGUCAAUAGCCAACAACUUAAUAGCUAUACUCUCUCUCUCUCUCUCUCUCUCUCUCUCUCUCUCUCUCUCUCUGUGGUGACCUUGAAUUGCCGUGUUAAGUAGAGGCAAAUGUCAACAGCGGCAAGGACCACAAAUAAGAUGAGCGGAAAGGUGGAUGAGGACCUGUAUGUGGGUGUGGAUGUGGGCAGUGGCAGCGUCCGGGCAGCCCUGGUGGAUGGCAGGGGCCGGGCUAUCCACACACACACCCACACCAUCACUAUUGCAAACCCACAGCAAGAUUAUUAUGAACAGGACUCAGAGGAGAUUUGGCAGGCCGUGUGUGUGUGUGUCAAGGCUGUGACAAAAGAGGUGGAAGACAAGAGUAAAAUAAGAGGCAUAGGGUUUGACGCCACUUGUUCCUUGGUUGUUGUGGCUCCUGACUUCACCCCAGUGUCUGUCAGCCCUUCUACAGGGGAAGACCGUUUCAACAUCAUCAUGUGGAUGGAUCACAGAGCAAGUGGAGAAGCAGAUUUCAUCAACUCCCAUCCACACAAGGUCCUCAGUUUUGUUGGCGGCAAAGUGUCUCCUGAGAUGCAAACGCCCAAGUUAUUGUGGCUUAAGAAACACAUGACUUCCACCUGGGUCAAGGCAGGUCACUUCUUUGACCUCCCGGAUUACCUGACCUUCAAAGCAACGGGCAGUACUUCAAGAUCACUGUGCUCUCUGACCUGCAAGUGGACCUAUCUCAGUGAGCAGGUUGGGACAGGGGAUGAGAGCCAAUCAGAAGGCUGGGAUGAGGAAUUCUUUCGCCUCAUUGGCUUAGAAGACCUGGCAGAGGAAAACUGGGUCAGGAUUGGGCAGGAGGUGAGGGCCCCGGGGGAGAGGUGUGGAGGGCUGACACACACAGCCGCGCACAUGAUGGGGCUAUGCACACACACCCCCGUGGCUGCCUCCUUUAUAGACGCACACCGCCGGCUGUCUGGCCCUGGCGGCUGCUGGACUGACAGACGGGCAGGUACUGACUGGCAGACUGGGCCUAAUCUGCGGCACAUCCACCUGUCACAUGGCACUCAGCCCAGGCCCUAUAGAGGUACCGGGUGUGUGGGGGCCUUAUGGGGGGGCGGUGCUCCCUUCCACGUACCUGGCAGAGGGGGGCAUAUCCGCCUCGGGAGCACUGGUGGAUCAUAUCAUUAGAGGGCAUCCCUGUGGUGGUGGUGGUGGCGGCAGUGAUGGCAACAUCUACAAGAGACUGGAGGAGUGUUUAGAGGAGGAGGCCAGGAGGGAGAAGCUGUCCUCUCCCUCUCUACUCACUCGCCACCUCCAUGUGUACCCAGACUUCCAUGGCAACAGAAGCCCCCUAGCAGACUCCCACAUGACAGGAAUGGUGUGUGGGCUGAAUCUGGACCUGAGUGAGCGGAGCCUGGCCCUCACCUACCUGGCCACCCUGCAGGCUCUGGCCUACGGCACGCGGCAGAUAAUGGCGCACAUGACGCGGGCGGGCCACGCGCUCACCAGUGUGCUGAUGUGCGGCGGCCUGUGUGCGUCUGACCUCUACGUGCAGACACACGCCGAUGCGCUAGGGAUGGAGGUGUUAACGCCCCAGCAGCAGCCUUCCGUGCUCUUGGGGGCGGCAAUGCUGGGGGCCGCCGCGUCAGGUCGCCACGCCAGCCUGGAGGCGGCGGCGCGAGCUAUGGGGGGCCCCGUCAGGAGGUGGCCGCCCCGUCCUGAGGUGAAGGCCUUCCAUGACAAGAAGUACCAGGUUUUCUUGGAGAUGCAGCAACACCAGAAGAGAUGCAGAGAAGCAAUGAAGGCUCCGCUAAAUUGAGCAAGAAAACGCUAACAUCACAUCGACAUUUUUAACUUGAAUUCUGAACCAGUUAUCUCUUAUAUUGCUGGUACGUAAGCUUUUCUCACUAAUCAUUAUCAGUUUUCCAUAAUUUUGUAUUGUCUUCAGAACUAAACUUGUUAUGAAUUAAGGCCUGAUAUUUAAACCUAUUUGAAUUAUGAAGUAUCUUUCGUAUGCUGUUGCUACGUAAUCUUUCCUCAGAUCACAGUAUCAAUAUUUCUUUAAGCUCGUAUUAUCUUCACUGUUAUAUUGUAAGAGAAACCACUGAUAUCGAUACUUGAUUUUUGAAACUGGUGUGAAUUCUGAACCCACUGUUUCUUGUACUGUUGGCAUGCAAUCUGUUCUCACUAACCAUAUCAGUUCUCUAUAACUUCGUAUUAUCCCCACCACUAAGCUCGUUACAAUGAUAUUAUUUAUAUUUUAUUUUUCGUAUAGUUUUUUUUUUUUUCUUUCUAUAGCAUCACGAAGUACGUACACAUAGAAGUCACAAUGGCGCGUAGUUCUCUUAAAAGCAAAUUAGGGCCGUGUAUUGUCUAAACACACUUCCGCUUUGGCUUAAAGAAUCGCUUAAGUUACAAGUAUAUGAAUUUGUAUUGUCUCCAGAAUAAGGACAUGUAUUAAUUGUUAUACUGUUAACUCUUACGUUGCAUUCCUUAGAUAAUCAUUCCUAUUAAAAGUUUAUAAAGUUGAAUUGUUUAUAUAAAUGCAAUGCCGUGAUGGAGAAGUGACGUGCAGAGAUUUGUUUGGCUGGCUUGCGCAAACCUCUCUGUAAAUACUGAAAGUAGAAUACUGAAAUGUGUGUUUUAUAACUCGCCUUUGGCCUCUCAAAACAGUGUGAACUUUGAAAUUAAAAUAUUAAAAGUGUGUUUUAUAACGUUCAUCUCUGGCCUCUCAAAAUACUGUAAAUAUUGAAAUUAGAAUAUUGAAAAAGCAGUAUAAAUAUUGAAAUUUAAAUAUUACAAUGUAUAUGUUUUACAACGCCUCUCAAAACACUGUAAAUAUUGGAAUUAGAAUAUUAAAAAACACUGUGUAAGUACUGAAAGUAAAAUACUGAAAUGUGUUUUAUAACGUUCACCUCUGGCCUCAAGGAAAAAAAAAUAAAUAUUGAAAGUAAAAUACUG